AGGUGCUCACGGUGGUCAAAGAAGAAUAGAAUUUAUGGUGGGAGCCUUUGUGUAAAUAGAGAUAGGGAAGCAGGUGUUGUGGGAACGGGAUAUAGUCUAUAGAAAUUAGAAGAUUAAUGUUAAACUGAAAUGUCAUGUAUAGCACGUACGUUGAUGAUGUAAUCUGUAAGAAAUAGUAUAAAACCUGUAAGAAAAUGAGGGUCGGUGGGAUUCUGAUUUGGGACGCUAGUCCCCGGGUCCCCGGGCCCGAAUAAAGCACCGCAUAAACUACUUUGUGGUUUGUGUUUCUCUUCGUUGGGCAACAGUUUUCUGGCGACCGCGGCAGGACUCCGAAGGUUGCUGGGGCGGUUCGCGAGGUGAUCUACUCCACGCCGGCACCAGGUGAUUUCUGGGGAGACAUCAACCCGUGCCCGACCCCGCGCCUGUCGGACAACUACGAGACUCUUGCAGCUGUACGGGGAGCCUUGCAGUGGAACCGCCCGCUACCACUAGAGAACCCAGUUCAUGACAUCUCGCCGGGAGACCAUGUGUACGUGAAAAAUUGGAGCGUGGAGCCUCUGAAGGAGUCAUGGAAUGGUCCCUACCAAGUGCUGAUGACCACGUACACCGCCGUCAAGGUCGCUGGGAUUGAUAACUGGAUACAC